AGAUUGAACGCUAGCGGGAUGCUUUACACAUGCAAGUCGAACGGCAGCGCGGACUUCGGUCUGGCGGCGAGUGGCGAACGGGUGAGUAAUAUAUCGGAACGUGCCCAGUAGCGGGGGAUAACUACGCGAAAGCGUGGCUAAUACCGCAUACGCCCUACGGGGGGAAAGGGGGGGAUUCUUCGGGAACCUCUCACUAUUGGAGCGGCCGAUAUCAGAUUAGCUAGUUGUGAGGUAAAGGCUCACCAAGGCGACGACUCUGUAGCUGGUUUGAGGAGGACGACCAGGCCCACACUGGGACUGAGACACGGCCCAGACUCCUACGGGAGCAGCGAGUGGGAAUUUGGACG
rnacentral:rRNA from 1 species